rnacentral:rRNA from 1 species
CCUACGGGAGGCAGCAGUGAGGAAUAUUGGUCAAUGGCCGGAAGGCUGAACCAGCCAAGUCGCGUGAGGGAAUAAGGCCCUACGGGUCGUAAACCUCUUUUGUCAGGGAGCAAAGCUGGCUACGCGUAGCCAGAAGGAGGGUACCUGAAGAAAAAGCAUCGGCUAACUCCGUGCCAGCAGCCGCGGUAAU